UACGAGAGGCCCAAACGUUAUUCGGAUUUACUGGGCUUAAAGGGCGCGUAGGCGGCGCAACAAGUCACUUGUGAAAUCUCCGGGCUUAACCCGGAGCGGCCAAGUGAUACUGUCGUGCUAGAGUGCGGAAGGGGCUACUGGAAUUCUCGGUGUAGCGGUGAAAUGCGUAGAUAUCGAGAGGAACACCUGCGGCGAAGGCGGGUAGCUGGGCCGACACUGACGCUGAGGCGCGAAAGCCAGGGGAGCGAACGGG
rnacentral:rRNA from 1 species